rnacentral:lncRNA from 1 species
GCGCGAGGUUGGGGGGAGCUGCGGCUGAUGGACGAUUAGUUCUCUCAGUUCAUCUCCAGGCAAGGGAGUAAACAAAUUAAUCUCGGAGCGGGAGCAGCCUGGAAGAUGAUGGAAGCCUUAAGGAUCCAGCAGCGUCUUUGCUGGGAAACCAGGAGGUACCACAGAGGCCCAGGGUGGCCUUAUUGCUGGCUCUGAGAGGUCAGGCUCUGGUCUGAGGUCACACAGUGAGAAGGGGCGCUCCCGCUGGGUUUUGAGAACAAAGGGAAAGUUGGGAAUAGUGCUACUUCUCCCAGACAAGCUUUGCCAGGGAUGAAGCCUCAGCUUCCCAGCCUAUUCUCUUGACCUCCAGGACCCCCCAGUAUCACCUCUCUUGCUACAGCUUCUUCUCUUACCUCUCCUUCCCAAUCUCUGGUACCAGGUUCAUUUGCUCACUUUCACCAGCCCUUGUUUCUGCUCACAACCUUCAGUGACUCACUAUCACCCUUGGACUGAAGCUCAGACUCCUCCCUGUGACAUUCUGGUCCCUCCAGGAUAUUACCACAACCCAUUUUUCCAGUCCAAGUGCCCACUGCUCUUUGCAGCUGCAAUCAGGUGCAUCUAAGAAGGUAUGAAGGUGAAGAUGAGGAGGUGCAGGGAGAUAGUGAUAUGCCCUGAGGUACUGGGGGUAAAAACCAAGCAGAAACCAGGAGCAUCAAAGUUCUGGGAAUCAGCUUUACUCCAUCUCUAUCAACACCUGCUCUGGAGAACACAGGAUCUUAACUUACAACUCUGCCUCAGCGUCCCAGAGUGCUGGGAUUAUAAUUAUGGGCCACCAUGCCUGGGUCACAUUCACUCUUUUAAAGCGUGCAGUUGGAUGGGUUGUGAAAGACACGUGUGCAGUAUCUCCACCUCUGCAAUCAAGAUGUGCAUUUCCAUUCACCACAGAAAGUUGCUUUGUGCCCCUUGGUGGAUUCCAUCUCCUAUCCCAGCUCCUGGCAUCCACUGAUGUGGUUUGGCCUUUUUCAGAUGCCAUUAAAUAGAAUCACCCAAUACUGAACCUUUUGGGGUCUUCUUCUUUCAUUUAGCAGAAUGCUUUUGAAAUUUGUGUUUUUGUGUAUAUCAGCUGUUCGUUUCUUUUCAUUGCCAAGUAGUAUUCCAAUGUCUGGAAUGCUACUAGAAUGGAAUUUGUCCAUU